GACGAACGCUGGCGGCGUGCUUAACACAUGCAAGUCGAACGGAAAGGUCUCUUCGGAGAUACUCGAGUGGCGAACGGGUGAGUAACACGUGGGUGAUCUACCCUGCACUUCGGGAUAAGCCUGGGAAACUGGGUCUAAUACCGGAUAGGACCACGGGAUGCAUGUCCUGUGGUGGAAAGCGUUUAGCGGUGUGGGAUGGGCCCGCGGCCUAUCAGCUUGUUGGUGGGGUGAUGGCCUACCAAGGCGACGACGGGUAGCCGGCCUGAGAGGGUGUCCGGCCACACUGGGACUGAGAUACGGCCCAGACUCCUACGGGAGGCAGCAGUGGGGGGAUAUUGCACAAUGGGCGCAAGCCUGAUGCAGCGACGCCGCGUGGGGGAUGACAGCCUUC
rnacentral:rRNA from 1 species